rnacentral:rRNA from 1 species
UAUUAUACUAAAUUUUUUUUUUAAAAACUAAAAUAUUAUAAGAUAGAAUCUUUAAAUUUAAAGAAUUUGGCGGUAAAUUAGUCUUUUCAGAGGAACCUGUUUUUUAAUCGAUAGUCCACGAAAAAUCUUACUUGUCUUAUAAUAUAAGUUUGUAUACCGUCAUUAUUAGAUAAUAUUUAAAGAUUUAUUAUUAAGUUUUAAAAUAAAUAAAAUAAAUUAGAUCAAGGUGCAGCUCAUGGACAAGUUUAAAUGGGUUACAAUUAAGUUUAUUAAUUAAUGGAAUUUAAAUUGAAAAAUUUUUAAGAAAUUGGAUUUGAUUGUAAUAUAAGUUUAAUAUGCUAAAGAGAUAUAAGCUCUAAUUUAU